GCAUAGCUCAGUUGGUUAGAGCAUGGUGCUGACACUGCCAAGGCUGCAAGUCCGGUCCCUGUAUGGGACAGCUGCA